GAUGAAGAACGUAGCGAAAUGCGAUACUUGGUGUGAAUAGCAGAAUCCCGUGAACCAUCGAGUCUUUGAACGCAAGUUGCGCCCGAAGCCAUCAGGUUGAGGGCACGUCUGCCUGGGCGUCACAUAUCGUUGCCCAAUGCCUAUUGCAGUGCAAUAGGAAUUUCUAGGGCGAAUGAUGGCUUCCCGUGAGCGUUGUUGCCUCGCGGUUGGUUGAAAAUCGAGUCCUUGGUAGGGUGUGCCAUGGUAGAUGGUGGUCGAGUUAGAACGAUACCGAUCAUGUGCAUGCUCCCCAAAAUAUGGCCUCUAUGACCCACACGCGUCUUUUGACGCUCAUGACGAGACCUCAGGUCAGGCGGGGCUACCCGCUGAAUUUAAGCAUAUCAAUAAGCGGAGGA
rnacentral:misc_RNA from 1 species